rnacentral:tRNA from 1 species
GCCUGGCUGGCUCAGCUGGUAGAGCAAGUGACUCUUGAUCUUGGGGUUGUGAGUUCAAGCCCCAUGAUGGGUG